rnacentral:misc_RNA from 1 species
GGCAUCUCCAGCAUCAUACCCACCACCGGUGACAGCGUACCCACCACCAGGCCAGCUACACACUCCUACUUAUGCACCGCCUCCUCCCACCGGCUACCCGAUGAAGGAUGGCACUCCAUACACACAAGUUCCAAUCGAGGUGAAAAGUCGUGAUGGCGAUGGCUUCUGGAAAGGAUGUUUUGCUGCUCUGUGCUGCUGCUGUGUUCUCGAUAUGUGUCUCUGAUAUGUCUCUGAGGGGAAGGACUAGGCC